GUCUUAGUUUGACUGGCACGAAAUUUGAGUCUAGAACUUUUCUCUCUUUAACUAAAAUUGUAUAUAAUAUACCAAAAAUAACCGUUGAGUCUUGUGGGUUUUUAGUCAUGUCAUAGUUAUUCCUAUGAGGGAGUGUCAUUAAGGUUUAAUUGAGAAUGUUGGAACUAAAGGCUUACUGAAUAUAGAAAGUGGUUUUCUUUAUGAAACAGAGUAAAAAAGAAAUUGAGGCACAUAAAUUGAAAUAGAGGGAGUUUAAGUUAGUAAUAGUACCUUCUAUUAGUUCAAUCUUCUGCCACCAUUCCCUUCCGCUCGUUUUCCUUUUUUUUCUUGUUCUGUUGCAUAGACUUCAACUUGCAAUCUGACUAAACUUCCCCUUCGCUCGUUUUCUUUUUUUUUCUUGUUCUGUUGCAUAGACUUCAACUUGCAAUCUGACUAAAUAUUAUUUAUUAUUCUUAUUAUUGUUAAUUAUUAUUUCACACAUUGGUAAAUUUGUCAUUGUGCAUGUGUACACUAAUGCUGCUCGGUGGUAAUUGGUAAUCCAGCUACGAGGCAAACUAUUCCGAUACCUGUUAAUUCAAAGCAUCAAAAUUCCAACUUGGUAGACUGUUCGCUGGUUUUUGAUCCAGGCGAGUCGUUAGAAUACAAGAUUAUUCGGUUUGUUCACUCGGUUGGUAAAUUAGGUUAGUGGAUGUUUAUUCUUCUGAGACUGGAAACUGGAUCGAGUACAAACUUCCUCUUGCACCUGAGAUCUCUGGACUAGGGUGGCUUAAAAAUUCAGUCUAUCUAAAUGGAGUUCUGUACAAGAUAUCCCGUGAUGGAAGGCUCAUUUGCAUAGACGUAAAAUCCAAUCCUACUAAUUUGAAUGCUUGGUCUACGGUCUACCCUUGAAUUGCCAUUUCAGCCACUCACAGAUGAGUAUGCAGGUUCUAUUGGAGCAUCAAGAGGCAAUCUUUAUUGCUUCAAUCGAGAUGCAUCUAACUUUCUUCUUUGGAAGCUGAAGAAUGGUGUUCAAUGGGUUCAGGAAUACAAUAUAAGCAUAUAUAGGCUGAUUCAUAGUUCUGUUGGCCGUUAUUAUUGUAAGGUUUUGGGAGAUAAGGUGUGGACUAACUUUCAGCCUUGUGUCUUUCUUCAUACUCUGGACGAAAUUCUCAUUGGAACUCCUUGGUUUCUCGCAACUUAUAGUCAUAAAAGAAGCGAUUUUGAUUGGUAUGACAUAGAGAUGCGUGGCUGUAAGACAAGAAGAUUGGGGCAAUCUUUUGCUUACUCGCGAAGCCUUGUUGUCUUCAAUAGCAUCAUCCAUAGGCAUUACGAAUCAUCUGCCUCGUUCAGUAAGUACAAGCUUAUUUAUACUUGUAUCGUGCUAUUCAACUUGCAUAUUUUAUAAGAAUGCAAAAAAUUACUUGCUCCAUUCCAUUUUUUUCUGUCUUAGUUUGACUGGCACGAAAUUUGAGUCUAGAACUUUUUUCUCCUUAACUAAAAUUGUAUAUAAUAUACCAAAAAUAACCGUUGAGGCUUGUAGGUUUUUUAGUCAUGUCAUAGUUAUUCCUAUGAGGGAGUGUCAUUAAGGUUAAAAUGAGAAUGUUGGAACUAAAGGCUUACUGAAUGUAGAAAGUGGUAUUCUUUAUGAAACAGAGUAAAAAAGAAAUUGAGGCACAUAAAUUGAAAUAGAGGGAGUUUAAGUUAGUAAUAGUACCUUCUAUUAGUUCAAUCUUCUGCCACCAUUCCCUUCCGCUCGUUUUCCUUUUUUUUCUUGUUCUGUUGCAUAGACUUCAACUUGCAAUCUGACUAAAUAUUAUUUAUUAUUAUUAUUAUU
rnacentral:lncRNA from 1 species